GAUGAACGCUGGCGGCGUGCCUAAUACAUGCAAGUCGAGCGAACAGACGAGGAGCUUGCUCCUCUGACGUUAGCGGCGGACGGGUGAGUAACACGUGGAUAACCUACCUAUAAGACUGGGAUAACUUCGGGAAACCGGAGCUAAUACCGGAUAAUAUAUUGAACCGCAUGGUUCAAUAGUGAAAGACGGUUUUGCUGUCACUUAUAGAUGGAUCCGCGCCGCAUUAGCUAGUUGGUAAGGUAACGGCUUACCAAGGCAACGAUGCGUAGCCGACCUGAGAGGGUGAGCGGCACCAGUGGCACAGAGACACGGUCAGGCCACCGACGGAAGGCGGAAGUAGGAAUUCUCGCGAAAGGGGGACAAGCCGGAGGGACAAGCGCGGAGUGAGAGAUAAAGGUCUACGUAUCUAAAAACUGUGUUUUGGGGAAAAAACAAAUGUGAAAGUAACUAUGCCCGUCUUGACGGUACCUAAUCAAAAAGCCAGGGCAAGCUCGGGG
rnacentral:rRNA from 1 species